rnacentral:rRNA from 1 species
UACGUAGGGCGCAAGCGUUAUCCGGAAUUAUUGGGCGUAAAGAGCUUGUAGGCGGUCUGUCGCGUCUGCUGUGAAAAUCCGGGGCUCAACCCCGGACUUGCAGUGGGUACGGGCAGACUAGAGUGUGGUAGGGGAGACUGGAAUUCCUGGUGUAGCGGUGAAAUGCGCAGAUAUCAGGAGGAACACCGAUGGCGAAGGCAGGUCUCUGGGCCGAUACUGACGCUGAGGAGCGAAAGCGUGGGGAGCGAACAGG